CGCAGUCCUUCUCCUCCACCUCGUAAGCAAGGAAAGAAGACAUCCGCUCCGUCUACUCUGUCGGCGUCUAGCAGUACAGCCAAAGGCGGGAGGAGAUACAGAUUCGGUCCUUCUCUGAAGACUCCAGAGAAGUUACCGUACGAGAGGAGCGAGGAGGAAAACGCGAAGAUCGCGCAGACCGAAGUGGAUGACUGGUUUCAAGGGUUGAAAGCAAAGAGACAUCCACCUCCAGAGGAGAAGGUAGAUCCGGUGAAAGGGAAGCGCACUCUGGCUGCCCUGACAAAACCACCCAAGUCUCCACCGAAAGGCAACUAUGAGCGCAUUAUUGGAAAGGCAUUUGCCGAAGCGGAGAGGUCGGGAAGUACUAAAAGUGAUCAAAGGAUGAAAGAACGACGAGCUGGGAAACAAAUUGCC
rnacentral:rRNA from 1 species